rnacentral:rRNA from 1 species
CGGACGGGUGAGUAGCGCGUGGGAAUCUGCCUAGUAGUGGGGGACAACAAUCGGAAACGACUGCUAAUACCCCAUACUCCUUUUACAUUAAUUGUAAUUGGGAAAUGUUUUUUCGCUAAAGGAUGAGACUAUAUGGUAUCAGGUAGUUGGUGGGGUAAGAGCCUACCAAGCCAAUGACGCCUAGCUGGUCUGAGAGGAUGAUCAGCCACACUGGAACUGAGACACGGUCCAG